rnacentral:rRNA from 1 species
GACAAGUCGAACGCACAUUGCGGUCCGCGGAUACUGUUCCUGGACCACACCUGGCUGAGGGUCGUGCUAUAUUACCAGACUGCCGGUCGUUCUGUUGUUCAAUCAACGACGAUCUCGGCGACGAUGGGUAUCGGGGAACCAGUGGUGUUUUGUUUCCCUGGCAAACAUGCGUUGCGUUUGUCAUGUGUGCAAUUCACGUUACACUGCCCGUUUCCUUAAAUCACUGUUCACACACUCUACCGAAUAACACUGUUUCGUACAGUUUAUUCACACAGUGCACAUUUACGUAUCGUAUUGCGUGACUCCCGUAUGCAGUGCAAAUAUUUAUGUGUUGGUGUGUUAAUAAGUGCGGAGUUGUCGGGCCGUGUCCCUGAGUAAACAGCAUCAUGUUUACCUCAUACACCAUGUCCGUAGAUACUUGGCUUAGAGACAUACAUGGUUUACGAUCAUUUAUAUUUGGACGCAUACACUAUAUGGGAUGUAACGUUUUACGUUGUGAAUGUUGUGCGGCUAAGAAUUUAGUUUUGCGACCUCAGAUCAGGUGGGAUUACCCGCUGAAUUUAAGCAUAUCAAUAAGCGGAGG